UAGGGAAUCUUCGGCAAUGGACGAAAGUCUGACCGAGCAACGCCGCGUAAGUGAAGAAGGUUUUCGGAUCGUAAAACUCUGUUGUUAGAGAAGAACAAGGGUGAGAGUAACUGUUCACCCCUUGACGGUAUCUAACCAGAAAGCCACGGCUAACUACGUGCUAG
rnacentral:rRNA from 1 species